rnacentral:rRNA from 1 species
ACGAACGCUGGCGGCGUGCUUAACACAUGCAAGUCGAACGGAAAGGCCCUGCUUCUGUGGGGUGCUCGAGUGGCGAACGGGUGAGUAACACGUGAGUAACCUGCCCUUGACUUUGGGAUAACUUCAGGAAACUGGGGCUAAUACCGGAUAGGAGCUCCUGCUGCAUGGUGGGGGUUGGAAAGUUUCGGCGGUUGGGGAUGGACUCGCGGCUUAUCAGCUUGUUGGUGGGGUAGUGGCUUACCAAGGCUUUGACGGGUAGCCGGCCUGAGAGGGUGACCGGCCACAUUGGGACUGAGAUACGGCCCAGACUCCUACGGGAGGCAGCAGUGGGGAAUAUUGCACAAUGGGCGGAAGCCUGAUGCAGCAACGCCGCGUGCGGGAUGACGGCCUUCGGGUUGUAAACCGCUUUCGCCUGUGACGAAGCGUGAGUGACGGUAAUGGGUAAAGAAGCACCGGCUAACUACGUG